rnacentral:lncRNA from 1 species
CCAUCAACUAAUCAUAGAAAAGGAUCCAAAUGCAACCAACACCUAGACUUAGGGUUUUAUCUGACAGAAUUCCAUGAGUUCUGGUGUUUGUCUAUUUCUGCAGGGGGUUAUCAGGAAAUACGGAAGAAAGGCCCACACGUCGGGAUUACAUAGAGAUAUUAACGUGCCGCGCAAUUAUCUUACAUCUGGAAGACUCCAGAAGCCACGGGAAGGAAGCGGAGGCCGAACGGAGCCAGGCACUGGGCGCCCGCCCAGUUGACCUGGGCGCCCGCCCUCACAUAGAGUCCAAUCAGGACUCUCUUUCGGGAUAUUGCUCCACCGACCUAAAGGAUCAAGGAUAACCGUUCAAUCAAUGUCGGUUUGAUCCAACGGCCCAGAUUCAGUGAAGGGACUAUAAAACCAGACCCCCUAGCCCCUGGAGAUCAUACCUCUUCUACAGAAUCAAAGCUAGGGUUUCAAUUCUUCAUCCAAGUAGAGAGGAUCCCUCUAGUUCUUCUAGUUCUACCUCUAGUUCAUCUAGAUCUAGUUCUAGUUCUUCUAGUUCUAGUUCUAGUUCCUCUAGUUCUAGUUCUAGUUAGUUCUAGUUGUAAUCUAGAAAAUAGGGAGAGAGAAGAGGAGAGCGAAGGAGGAGCCGGAUCUGUCGGAUCUUCCUCAACAUUGUACUUUUGCAGCAACUGGUUCGUUCUUCAUCGUUCUCCGGGUUCUUCAAUUCAUAAUUCCUGAGUUCUUUAAUUACUUUUAUUUACAUUCAAGUUAUUUAUUGGAUUCCCGCU